rnacentral:rRNA from 1 species
AGUGAACGCUGGCGGCAUGCCUUACACAUGCAAGUCGAACGGUAGCACAAGAAGAGUUGCCCUCUAGGGGCGGCCAGUGGUGUAUGGCAGCGGAAUGCACCGGAACCUUGGUGAUCACGGCUCACAACGUUAGCCAACACCCCCUACCACCUAAUACGGCAAACGGGUGAACGCAAGGCAUCUCCGGAUUUUGCCCGCCUGUGUGAGACGAUGUAGGAUGUGCUAGUUAGGGGGGUAAAGGCACACCAAGGCAACGAUCCGUAGCUGCUCUGAGAGGAUAACCAGCCACACUGGCACUGAGACACGGCCCAGACUCCUACGGGAGGCAGCAGUGGGGAAUCUUGGACAAUGGGCGCAAGCCCGAUCCAGCCAUACCGCGUGUAUGACGAAGGCCUUCGGGUUGUAAACCGCUUUUGUAUGGAAAGAAAAGGAUCUGGUUAAUACCUGGAGGUUAUGACGGUACCCAAAGAAUAAGCCACGGCUAACUACGUG